UACGUAGGGGGCAAGCGUUGUCCGGAUUUAUUGGGCGUAAAGAGCGUGUAGGCGGCCUUACAGGUCAGCUGUGAAAACUCGAGGCUCAACCUCGAGACGUCGGUUGAAACCGUAUGGCUAGAGUCCGGAAGAGGAGAGUGGAAUUCCCGGUGUAGCGGUGAAAUGCGCAGAUAUCGGGAAGAACACCCGUGGCGAAGGCGGCUCUCUGGGACGGUACUGACGCUGAGACGCGAAAGCG
rnacentral:rRNA from 1 species